AAAAAGACAAACCAUAGGUUUACGUGUCCAACUUUGAAUAUCCGUCUUAUAUAAAAUUUUUUUAUAAUUCGUAUUUUCAUUGUUGUUAGAUGAUAAAACAUGAUUAAUAUUUUAUGCGUGACUUGUCUUUUUAAUUCUUUUUAUAAUUUUUUUUCAAAUAAGACGAACGGUCAAACGUUGAACACGAAAACCAGAGUUUGUCUUUUUU
rfam:Oryza sativa (indica cultivar-group) chromosome 1, whole genome shotgun sequence.